rnacentral:rRNA from 1 species
CACGUAGGGGGCGAGCGUUGUCCGGAUUUAUUGGGCGUAAAGAGCUCGUAGGCGGCUCGGUAAGUCAGGUGUGAAAACUCUAGGCUCAACCUAGAGACGCCACCUGAUACUGCUGUGGCUAGAGUCCGGUAGGGGAGCAUGGAAUUCCUGGUGUAGCGGUGAAAUGCGCAGAUAUCAGGAGGAACACCAGUGGCGAAGGCGGUGCUCUGGGCCGGAACUGACGCUGAGGAGCGAAAGCCAAGGGAGCAAACAGG